UCUUUUUCCACCGGAGCUUGCUCCACCGGAAAAAGAAGAGUGGCGAACGGGUGAGUAACACGUGGGUAACCUGCCCAUCAGAAGGGGAUAACACUUGGAAACAGGUGCUAAUACCGUAUAACAAUCGAAACCGCAUGGUUUUGAUUUGAAAGGCGCUUUCGGGUGUCGCUGAUGGAUGGACCCGCGGUGCAUUAGCUAGUUGGUGAGGUAACGGCUCACCAAGGCCACGAUGCAUAGCCGACCUGAGAGGGUGAUCGGCCACAUUGGGACUGAGACACGGCCCAAACUCCUACGGGAGGCAGCAGUAGGGAAUCUUCGGCAAUGGACGAAAGUCUGACCGAGCAACGCCGCGUGAGUGAAGAAGGUUUUCGGAUCGUAAAACUCUGUUGUUAGAGAAGAACAAGGAUGAGAGUAACUGUUCAUCCCUUGACGGUAUCUAACCAGAAAGCCACGGCUAACUACGUGCCAGCAGCCGCGGUAAUACGUAGGUGGCAAGCGUUGUCCGGAUUUAUUGGGCGUAAAGCGAGCGCAGGCGGUUUCUUAAGUCUGAUGUGAAAGCCCCCGGCUCAACCGGGGAGGGUCAUUGGAAACUGGGAGACUUGAGUGCAGAAGAGGAGAGUGGAAUUCCAUGUGUAGCGGUGAAAUGCGUAGAUAUAUGGAGGAACACCAGUGGCGAAGCGGCUCUCUGGUCUGUAACUGACGCUGAGGCUCGAAAGCGUGGGGAGCAAACAGGAUUAGAUACCCUGGUAGUCCACGCCGUAAACGAUGAGUGCUAAGUGUUGGAGGGUUUCCGCCCUUCAGUGCUGCAGCUAACGCAUUAAGCACUCCGCCUGGGG
rnacentral:rRNA from 1 species